CGACUCUCGGCAACGGAUAUCUCGGCUCUCGCAUCGAUGAAGAACGUAGCGAACUGCGAUACUUGGUGUGAAUUGCAGAAUCCCGUGAAUCAUCGAGUCUUUGAACGCAAGUUGCGCCCGAAGCCGUUUGGCCGAGGGCACGUUUGCCUGGGUGUCACAC
rnacentral:rRNA from 1 species